CAGUCGACGAACUCUGGUAUUGAUUGGUGCUUGCAUCAUGAUUUACAUUUGAGUGAGUGGCGAACUGGUGAGUAACACGUGGGAAACCUGCCCAGAAGCGGGGGAUAACACCUGGAAACAGAUGCUAAUACCGCAUAACAACUUGGACCGCAUGGUCCGAGCUUGAAAGAUGGCUUCGGCUAUCACUUUUGGAUGGUCCCGCGGCGUAUUAGCUAGAUGGUGGGGUAACGGCUCACCAUGGCAAUGAUACGUAGCCGACCUGAGAGGGUAAUCGGCCACAUUGGGACUGAGACACGGCCCAAACUCCUACGGGAGGCAGCAGUAGGGAAUCUUCCACAAUGGACGAAAGUCUGAUGGAGCAACGCCGCGUGAGUGAAGAAGGGUUUCGGCUCGUAAAACUCUGUUGUUAAAGAAGAACAUAUCUGAGAGUAACUGUUCAGGUAUUGACGGUAUUUAACCAGAAAGCCACGGCUAACUACGUGCCAGCAGCCGCGGUAAUACGUAGGUGGCAAGCGUUGUCCGGAUUUAUUGGGCGUAAAGCGAGCGCAGGCGGUUUUUUAAGUCUGAUGUGAAAGCCUUCGGCUCAACCGAAGAAGUGCAUCGGAAACUGGGAAACUUGAGUGCAGAAGAGGACAGUGGAACUCCAUGUGUAGCGGUGAAAUGCGUAGAUAUAUGGAAGAACACCAGUGGCGAAGGCGGCUGUCUGGUCUGUAACUGACGCUGAGGCUCGAAAGUAUGGGUAGCAAACAGGAUUAGAUACCCUGGUAGUCCAUACCGUAAACGAUGAAUGCUAAGUGUUGGAGGGUUUCCGCCCUUCAGUGCUGCAGCUAACGCAUUAAGCAUUCCGCCUGGGGAGUACGGCCGCAAGGCUGAAACUCAAAGGAAUUGACGGGGGCCCGCACAAGCGGUGGAGCAUGUGGUUUAAUUCGAAGCUACGCGAAGAACCUUACCAGGUCUUGACAUACUAUGCAAAUCUAAGAGAUUAGACGUUCCCUUCGGGGACAUGGAUACAGGUGGUGCAUGGUUGUCGUCAGCUCGUGUCGUGAGAUGUUGGGUUAAGUCCCGCAACGAGCGCAACCCUUAUUAUCAGUUGCCAGCAUUAAGUUGGGCACUCUGGUGAGACUGCCGGUGACAAACCGGAGGAAGGUGGGGAUGACGUCAAAUCAUCAUGCCCCUUAUGACCUGGGCUACACACGUGCUACAAUGGAUGGUACAACGAGUUGCGAACUCGCGAGAGUAAGCUAAUCUCUUAAAGCCAUUCUCAGUUCGGAUUGUAGGCUGCAACUCGCCUACAUGAAGUCGGAAUCGCUAGUAAUCGCGGAUCAGCAUGCCGCGGUGAAUACGUUCCCGGGCCUUGUACACACCGCCCGUCACACCAUGAGAGUUUGUAACACCCAAAGUCGG
rnacentral:rRNA from 2 species